rnacentral:rRNA from 1 species
AUUGAACGCUGGCGGCAGGCCUAACACAUGCAAGUCGAGCGAGCGGCGGACGGGGUAGUAAUGGCGGGGAAACUGCCUGAUGGAGGGGGAUAACUACUGGAAACGGUAGUUGAUACCGCAUACCAUCAGAUGUGCCCAGAUGGGAUUAGCUAGUAGGUGGGGUAACGGCUCACCUAGGCGACGAUCCCUAGCUGGUCUGAGAGGAGGACCAGCCACACUGGACCUGAGACACGGUCCAGCCUCUUACGGGAGGCACCAGUGGGGAAUAUUGCCCAAUGGGCGCAAGCCUGAUGCAGCCAUGCCGCGUGAGUUAAGAAGGCCUUCGGGUUGUAAAGCACUGUCAGCGGGGAGGCGUUACCCGCAGAAGAAGCACCGGCUAACUCCGUGCCAGCAGCCGCGGUAAUAC